UCUUCAAACGCAGGCAUUGAUUCCUCUUUCUUAAUAAUUAGACAUUUUAUUUUGCCACAGUAUGAAAUUGUUAACCACACAAUCACGCUAUUCAGAGAAGCAUAACUUUCUUGCUCCAUCCAAAAGGCGAAAGGAAAAAAGGAACCCAAACUAUUCAAUUCACCGAUUAAUGAUGCUAAAGUUGAUUCUCGUAGGCUUAUAACUCUAUUCAUUUUUCUGUAUUUCAAAUUUCAACGAAGUAUGGCUGUUUUUCAAAUUCAACCACUUCAAUUCUAACAGCAGCCAACGUACAAAUUAUUCAGGUUUGGAAUUAUUGUUCUUUGAUUUCAUGUAUCUCCUUAUUAAAUUUUUUUUAGUUUUGACAGAUAUGCAUCACCUUACUUCGAUUGGGUUCUUAAAACUGGUGAUUUGGAUAAUUCAACUUAUUUCUUGUGUGAUACCUCAGAACCAAAUAUUCGAAGCCCUCUCAACAACCUGCUACAACACUUUGGAUAAAUAAGGAAGGUAUUUUUACCUUCCUCACUCAUAUUGGUUGUUGUGGUUUGUGGAACUUUCUUGACAUGUAUAUGAUGGGAUCCUAUAUGGCUAGCUCUUUAAACUUAGAGAUUGUAAAAUUAUGUAUGUUUACUAUUUCUCAGAUUUAUCUAGUG